rnacentral:rRNA from 1 species
UUAAGCGACCAAGCGUACACGGUGGAUGCCCUGGCAGUCAGAGGCGAUGAAGGACGUGCUAAUCUGCGAUAAGCGCCGGUAAGGUGAUAUGAACCGUUAUAACCGGCGAUUUCCGAAUGGGGAAACCCAGUGUGAUUCGUCACACUAUCAUUACGUGAAUACAUAGCGUAAUGAAGCGAACCGGGGGAACUGAAACAUCUAAGUACCCCGAGGAAAAGAAAUCAACCGAGAUUCCCCCAGUAGCGGCGAGCGAACGGGGAGGAGCCCAGAGUCUGAAUCAGCAUAUGUGUUAGUGGAAGCGUCUGGAAAGGCGCGCGAUACAGGGUGACAGCCCCGUACACAAAAGCGCAUAUGCUGUGAGCUCGAUGAGUAGGGCGGGACACGUGGUAUCCUGUCUGAAUAUGGGGGGACCAUCCUCCAAGGCUAAAUACUCCUGACUGACCGAUAGUGAACCAGUACCGUGAGGGAAAGGCGAAAAGAACCCCGGCGAGGGGAGUGAAACAGAACCUGAAACCGUGUACGUACAAGCAGUGGGAGCCCCACCACCAAAGCGUUUGCUGUAGCGCGUUGACGGAGCGAAGCGACGUCAAACCGAAAAAAACAGCAGCGAUGAACGCAGGGCUUUUUGCACGAAGUGCAAAGGCAGACGCGUUCGCGAAGCGAAAAGCGAAUGUUUUGGGGUGGGGUGACUGCGUACCUUUUGUAUAAUGGGUCAGCGACUUAUAUUCUGUAGCAAGGUUAACCGCAUAGGGGAGCCGAAGGGAAACCGAGUCUUAAUUGGGCGUUAAGUUGCAGGGUAUAGACCCGAAACCCGGUGAUCUAGCCAUGGGCAGGUUGAAGGUUGGGUAACACUAACUGGAGGACCGAACCGACUAAUGUUGAAAAAUUAGCGGAUGACCUGUGGCUGGGGGUGAAAGGCCAAUCAAACCGGGAGAUAGCUGGUUCUCCCCGAAAGCUAUUUAGGUAGCGCCUCGUGAAUUCAUCUCCGGGGGUAGAGCACUGUUUCGGCCAGGGGGCCAUCCCGGCUUACCAAUCCGAUGCAAACUGCGAAUACCGGAGAAUGUUAUCACGGGAGACACACGGCGGGUGCUAACGUCCGUCGUGAAGAGGGAAACAACCCAGACCGCCAGCUAAGGUCCCAAAGUCAUGGUUAAGUGGGAAACGAUGUGGGAAGGCCCAGACAGCCAGGAUGUUGGCUUAGAAGCAGCCAUCAUUUAAAGAAAGCGUAAUAGCUCACUGGUCGAGUCGGCCUGCGCGGAAGAUGUAACGGGGCUAAACCAUGCACCGAAGCUGCGGCAGCGACACUGUGUGUUGUUGGGUAGGGGAGCGUUCUGUAAGCCGUAGAAGGUGUCCUGUGAGGGGUGCUGGAGGUAUCAGAAGUGCGAAUGCUGACAUAAGUAACGAUAAAGCGGGUGAAAAGCCCGCUCGCCGGAAGACCAAGGGUUCCUGUCCAACGUUAAUCGGGGCAGGGUGAGUCGACCCCUAAGGCGAGGCCGAAAGGCGUAGUCGAUGGGAAACGGGUUAAUAUUCCCGUACUUGGUGUUACUGCGAAGGGGGGACGGAGAAGGCUAUGUUGGCCGGGCGACGGUUGUCCCGGUUUAAGCGUGUAGGCUGACUUUCCAGGCAAAUCCGGAGAGUCAAGGCUGAGGCGUGACGACGAGGCACCACGGUGCUGAAGCAACAAAUGCCCUGCUUCCAGGAAAAGCCUCUAAGCAUCAGGUAACAUCAAAUCGUACCCCAAACCGACACAGGUGGUCAGGUAGAGAAUACCAAGGCGCUUGAGAGAACUCGGGUGAAGGAACUAGGCAAAAUGGUGCCGUAACUUCGGGAGAAGGCACGCUGACAUGUAGGUGAAGCGGUUUACCCGUGGAGCUGAAGUCAGUCGAAGAUACCAGCUGGCUGCAACUGUUUAUUAAAAACACAGCACUGUGCAAACACGAAAGUGGACGUAUACGGUGUGACGCCUGCCCGGUGCCGGAAGGUUAAUUGAUGGGGUCAGCGCAAGCGAAGCUCCUGAUCGAAGCCCCGGUAAACGGCGGCCGUAACUAUAACGGUCCUAAGGUAGCGAAAUUCCUUGUCGGGUAAGUUCCGACCUGCACGAAUGGCGUAAUGAUGGCCAGGCUGUCUCCACCCGAGACUCAGUGAAAUUGAACUCGCUGUGAAGAUGCAGUGUACCCGCGGCAAGACGGAAAGACCCCGUGAACCUUUACUAUAGCUUGACACUGAACAUUGAGCCUUGAUGUGUAGGAUAGGUGGGAGGCUUUGAAGCGUGGACGCCAGUCUGCGUGGAGCCAACCUUGAAAUACCACCCUUUAAUGUUUGAUGUUCUAACGUUGACCCGUUACCCGGGUUGCGGACAGUGUCUGGUGGGUAGUUUGACUGGGGCGGUCUCCUCCUAAAGAGUAACGGAGGAGCACGAAGGUUGGCUAAUCCUGGUCGGACAUCAGGAGGUUAGUGCAAUGGCAUAAGCCAGCUUGACUGCGAGCGUGACGGCGCGAGCAGGUGCGAAAGCAGGUCAUAGUGAUCCGGUGGUUCUGAAUGGAAGGGCCAUCGCUCAACGGAUAAAAGGUACUCCGGGGAUAACAGGCUGAUACCGCCCAAGAGUUCAUAUCGACGGCGGUGUUUGGCACCUCGAUGUCGGCUCAUCACAUCCUGGGGCUGAAGUAGGUCCCAAGGGUAUGGCUGUUCGCCAUUUAAAGUGGUACGCGAGCUGGGUUUAGAACGUCGUGAGACAGUUCGGUCCCUAUCUGCCGUGGGCGCUGGAAGACUGAGGGGGGCUGCUCCUAGUACGAGAGGACCGGAGUGGACGCAUCACUGGUGUUCGGGUUGUCAUGCCAAUGGCACUGCCCGGUAGCUAAAUGCGGAAGAGAUAAGUGCUGAAAGCAUCUAAGCACGAAACUUGCCCCGAGAUGAGUCUUCCCUGAGACUAUAAGUCUCCUGAAGGAACGUUAAAGACGAUGACGUUGAUAGGCCGGGUGUGUAAGCGCAGCGAUGCGUUGAGCUAACCGGUACUAAUGAACCGUGAGGCUUAACCUU